GAGGGAAAACUUGAAGACGCUUUAGGUUAUAUGGAGGAUGAUUCAUGUGGUCAAGUGUAUGGUGAGAUUGUGAUGAUGAAUUGAUGACUGCAUGUAUUGAGCCGCUCUCAUGAAAACAAUACCAGUGGAGGAGAUCCCAGCAGUUGACUUGCAGCAGUGUGGAAGAAGGGCAUGAAGAUCAAGGAAGGGACCUGGUG